GAGGAGGAGAAGGAUAUGGGGGGAGGAGGAGGAGGAGGAGGAGAAGAAGAUGGAGAAGGAGAAGGAGAAAGACACUACUGCUAGUGAAAAAAUAAAUGCUCAGGGCGAGGGCUUGGAUGGAUCUGAACUAACUCCAACCAACAGCACUCAGACCAAAGAUCCCACAGAGAUGAAAGAAUGACCAGCAGGAGGAGGAGGGACAAUCAACCAGCCAACAGUGUGAAGAAUGACAGUACCUCUACACCCUCUGAUACUGCAGGACCAGAGGAAAAAGAACCAGUCAUCCAACAUAACAUAACGCAUUCACCUGUUUUACUUUUUAAUUACUUUGUGAAUCUUUAUUAUAAUGAAAUGAUGUAAUCUGUCAUCAAUGAAAUUAAUAAUCAAUCAAUCUUUAUUUAGAAAUCUGUCAUUCAUUAAAUGAAUCAUUGAUCAAAAUCAAAUAUGUAUGUAAAACAAUUAACAUGUAAUAGAGGACUCUAACAUAUCUAACUGAAGAGAGGAGUGGUGAGACACCUGUCAGUCUGUUAGAUCUAACUGAAGAGAUGAUUGGUGAGAUACCUGGCAGUCUGUUAGAUCUAACUGAAGAGAUGAGUGGUGAGACACCUGGCAGUCUAUUAGAUCUAACUGAAGAGAUGAGUGGUGAGACACCUGGCAGUCUAUUAGAUCUAACUGAAGAGAUGAUUGGUGAGAUACCUGGCAGUCUAUUAGAUCUAACUGAAGAGAUGAUUGGUGAGAUACCUGUUAGUCUGUUAGAUCUAACUGAAGAGAUGAUUGGUGAGAUACCUGGCAGUCUGUUAGAUCUAACUGAAGAGAUGAGUGGUGAGACACCUGGCAGUCUAUUAGAUCUAACUGAAGAGAUGAUUGGUGAGAUACAUGGCAGUCUGUUAGAUCUAACUGAAGAGAUGAGUGGUGAGACACCUGGCAGUCUAUUAGAUCUAACUGAAGAGAUGAUUGGUGAGAUACCUGGCAGUCUGUUAGAUCUAACUGAAGAGAUGAGUGGUGAGACACCUGGCAGUCUGUUAGAUCUAACUGAAGAGAUGAUUGGUGAGAUACCUGGCAGUCUGUUAGAUCUAACUGAAGAGAUGAGUGGUGAGACAUCUAACUACUACUAAUAGCCAUUCCCAUAUUAGCCAUAGUGCCAGAGGACUAAACCUUCUGUUGGACUACCCUUCCAUUCUACACCCUUAUAUUGAGAAUAUGAAUCAUAUCUAAACAUAAUAUCUCUGUUACAUUCCAUCUAGAACAUUGUGGGAGUGUUCCAUCUAACCUUGCAUGCCAUCUAGAACAUUGUGGGAGUGUUCCACCUAACCUUACACGCCAUCUAGAGUCUAGAACAUUGUGGGAGCAUUCCAUCUAACCUUACAUGCCAUCUAGAGUCUAGAACAUUGUGGGAGCAUUCCAUCUAACCUUACAUGCCAUCUAGAGUCUAGAACAUUGUGGGAGCAUUCCAUCUAACCUUACACGCCAUCUAGAGUCUAGAACAUUGUGGGAGCAUUCCAUCUAACCUUACAUGCCAUCUAGAGUCUAGAACAUUGUGGGAACAUUCCAUCUAACCUUACACGCCAUCUAGAGUCUAGAACAUUGUGGGAGCAUUCCAUCUAACCUUACAUGCCAUCUAGAGUCUAGAACAUUGUGGGAGCAUUCCAUCUAACCUUACACGCCAUCUAGAGUCUAGAACAUUGUGGGAGCGUGGAACUGUAAAAACACCAGAACACCACAUGACACACACACAGGAGUACACCACAACAUCAUCAACACACACACACAC